rnacentral:lncRNA from 1 species
CCACAAUGUCAAUUUCUUUCAUGAUUUACUUGACAUUUGGUCCUCACAUUGUAGGCUAAACAAGUAUAUACAGAGGAUAGGAGAACACACAAUGACCACUAAUAGAUGUGUGAACACACACACACACAUGAAAAUGAGCAUGUCUUCGUGUCAUGCACUCGAAGGCAAAUGAAAACCGCAGAAUACAGGAAAUACAAAUGAAAUACAAGCAGUCUGUUGUUUGCCCGCUUUACUCUGAAUCACUCUCUCCAUCGCUCUCUUAUAUCUUAUUCUGAUUGGCAGGUUAGAAACUUUGGGUUCAGACCACACUGUUUCAGCAGUUUGUGGUUGUAGCUUCAAUAUUUAUACCGUGGUGUACAAACCAUAUUGAGCUUGUUGGAACUAUGGGAAGUUUUUUAAGUUGCAACCGAAGAAAGAAGAAACCUAAAAAAGCUGAUAAUGACCAUCAGAGAGAAACAGCAGACACAAAGACAGAAGAUGUCCUCUAUGCCUCCAUUGACCACGUUAACAUCAGUCCAAACAGACCUGUUCGAGACGUGGAUGACAACGAUUGUGAUUAUGCUGUUGUAAAUCUCCCUCAAAACACAACAGACUCGGCCAAGCACAAAAGCUAUGAGGACAGUACAGAUGAUUAUGUGCUUAUGGGUUGAGCACCGAGAUGCUUCUGUGGCUGAAAUCUGCACAUUCAGUUGGAAUGGACACCUGAGAUACACAAGCACAACUUUAACGGCGUGUUAACUUUGUAUAGGUUGCAAUGAUAUUCAACUUUUUAAAAUGGGUAUUUAUUUGUUUUUCUUUUCUUUUUUUAUAAUUAUUUCAUUUCAGGUCUGUUUUUGUCACUUUAUGUAAGUAAAAUAUGUUUAAGACUUUUGAAUUACUACCUUCAUCUACGUGCACAGUGAAUAAAGUGCAUAUUAUGUCUGUAUUCCUGUAUGUAUAUAUGUGUUCAUGCAAAGAAAGAAGACGUAACUUCUCGCUGUAGUAUUGUUGUUGCUGCUGCCGCC